AAUAUAUUAAUUUUAAAUAUAAAAAUUUAAUAAAUAUUUUUAUAAUAUAAAUAAAAAUUUAAAUUGAGGGGGGGGGGACUAUAAAUUUAAAUAAUUUAUUUAUAAAUAAUAUUUAAUUUUUUAUUUAGAAAAUUUUAAUGAAAAUUAUUAAAAGAAAAAUAUUUUAAUUACUAAUAAAAUAAAGUGCCAGCAAUUGCGGUUAAACUUUAAGUGAAAUUGAAUUUUUUAUAAUAUAAAUAAAUUAUUUUUUUAAAAAAAUUAUUAAAUUAUUUAAUAAAAAAAUUUUUUUUAUGGUGAAAUAUAAAUAAAAUAAAAUUUUAUUUAAAAUAAUAAUUAAAAAUAUAUAAUUUAUAUAAAAUUUUAAAUAAAUUAGGAUUAGAUACCCUAUUAUUGAAUUUAAAUUAUUUAAAAUUAAAUAAUAAAUGUAAUUAAUCAUUAAAAAAUAAAAAAUUUGGCGGUAUUUUAAAUAAUUAGAGGAAUUUGUUUAUUAAUUUGAUAAUCCACGAAUGGAAGUACUUAAUUUUAUUUUAUGUAUUGUUGUUUAAAUAAUUGUAUUAUUAGGUUAUAAUUAAAUUAUUAGAUAAAAAUGAUAAUUCAAAUCAAAAUAUAGAUUAAUUAAGAUGUAUAAUGAAUUACAAUUAAUUUUAAAUUAAUGGAUGAUAAAGAUUUUAAUAUUUAUAAGAAAUUGUAUUUAAAUGUAAAUUUAUUUAAAUUUUUAAAUUGAAUUUAUUUUAAAAUAUGUACAAAUUGCCCGUCAUUUUCAUUUUAACUAUGGAAAAAGUCGUAACAUAGUAAAUAUAUUGGAAAAUGUAUUUAGAUAAAA
rnacentral:rRNA from 1 species